CUGAAGGCUGGAAGUCCAAGAUCAGAGUGCAGCAUGGUCAGGUUCUGGUGAAGGCCCUCUUGCUGGUUGCAGGCUGCUGACUUCUCGCUAGUGCCUUUUUGCAGAGUCGCCACCAUUAGCCUUUUGGAGUGAGCCGUCCAUAUCCUGCCAGGACCCUGACCGAUUCAACACCAUAAUCUGUGCGUAGCUGGUGUGGCCAUAUGCAGCAGCACAGUGUGGCCCUUUCAACCCCAGAGCUGCAAGAUGGAUAGUCUACCUCCAGGCAUCAAGGUUGGAUUUCAGACAGGAAGAAAUGGCAAAAGGCACCAAACGGCUCUUUGCCAGGAAAACAAUAGCUUUUUAGGAAGUGACAGACAGCAGGAGAGUCGGGAAGUGGAUAAUCCCCCUUGUGAUGCUGGAUGGGCAUCCUUCACGUCACUUCGUCCACCUCGUCUCAUCACGUAGGCAUUUUGUCAUCUCACAUCAU